GCACCCGUAGCGCAAUUGGAUAGAGUAUUGCCCUCCGACGGCAAAGGUUGUGGGUUCGACUCCCAUCGGGUGUACCA
rnacentral:tRNA from 1 species